CUUAGACUGCACAACAGCAACAUUCUUUUCUGAGUAUAGGUAAUCACAUCAUUAUCUAUGGAUAGAAGCUUGGGAGGACACAUAUUCAUGGCCUGGCAAGUGCCAUUAUAUUUGCUGUCUGCUUUAAAUACUUCAUAAAAAGAAGACACACAGGAAUUCCCACACAGAGGA